GCGGUGAAAUGCGUAGAUAUCGAGAGGAACACCUGCGGCGAAGGCGGGUAGCUGGGCCGACACUGACGCUGAUGCGCGAAAGCCAGGGGAGCGAACGGGAUUAGAUACCCCGGUAGUCCUGGCCUUAAACGAUGGAUACUUGGUGUCCGAGGUUACAUAGUCCUCGGGUGCCGGCGCUAACGCAUUAAGUAUCCCGCCUGGGGAGUACGGUCGCAAGACUGAAACUCAAAGGAAUUGACGG
rnacentral:rRNA from 1 species